UUCUCGCAGCGCAGGUUCAAAGAGGUGGUGACUAUUCAUUGGAUAAACAUGGAGGUGUGUCUACUUCAUUUUAAUAAACAAGAGGUCAGGGACGUAUGUAAAUGCGUGUACAUGUAUAUACUGUUAGCUCAUGGAAAGUUUCAACGAUUUGAGAUCAAUAAAUUAGAAUUAUACCGCAUAUUUUGUAAUAAUAAUGUUGACGAAAUUGUAAACUAACUUAAGAAAACACAGUAAAAGUAUUUAACGACAUGAAAAAAUAUACAUAUUAGUGUAAUUCGUUGCAUCAGCCUCCGGCAUUUACUAACCGACUUUUGUGGAUACCUGACCUCCACAUUGAGAUCAGCUGUUCUUUCAGGUACUGAUCAAGGACGAGGAAAGGAGUCUGGGAUCUUGCAGCAUUUUCAUGGAUGGUACAUAUAGAGACGAGACUUCAUUAAGAUUUCUUCAUCCAAUAUCAAAUCGUGACAAGAACAUAAGAAAACAUGCAUUUGAUGCCACAACCAGAACGAUUGAAACCUGGUUGACAGGAUAUGCAACACCUUUUAAUUCACUAGAGUCAAUCGCAAGUGUGAACGGUGUUGGUAAUAACAUUGCUAUUGCUAAACUGCAAGAAAGGGUUCCUGAUCUUUUACGGCUAGUAUGUGGAUGUCCGUUCAAAGACAUUAGAGACAAAAGCAAAUGUCUUCUAGAUGACCUAAAG